UGACGAAAUAGUUCAGUAUGGUUAGAACAUUGGAAUCAUAAUCUAAAAGUCGAAGGUUCAAGUCCUUCUUUCGUUAU
rnacentral:tRNA from 1 species